GUGUCGGAAGCAUUAGCAGCAAGAAAACAUGUCAACAGAAUAAAAUAUUAACCAAUGACAGAAAAGCAGGGGAACUCCCUCCCACACGUCGGAGCCGGGCGGGUCAGCGCUCAUUCCUCAGCCGCUGCACGGACACACCAAGUCGAUUAGCUUCUCGCUUUAUAAUCACGACGAGACGAUGCCAGCCUUGUCAGAGCCACCAAAUUCACUUCCGAUGCACCGGAGUCCAGGAAUUACGAUUACUGAGGUUAAUUGAUGCGCUCUCUAGUAUUCAACCUAAUCAAUAAAAUGGGUGCUAAAUACUAAAAUAACGCGACUCUAGUGAUUGACUAACAUGUAGCCUACUGCUUCCAUCGGAGGAAAGCACAUUUCCCAUCGGGCGCACGUGUUUACAAACAUGUACAAUUAUUUGGGCGUUAGAGCUAAACUAAUCUAGUCUGUUUGCGAUCCCAAAACAAGACCAAUAAAAUGCUACAGAAUAAAAAAAAAAACCCAGCUUGAUCCGUAGGCUAUUAAUUGAUGUAGUCGCACAGGUAAAAUAGGAAACGACCCGUUUGAUGUGUUUAUUAUUAUAAUAUCUAUUUGAUCUCAUCACUAACCUGGCGAGAGAGGAGGCGACUUAUAAAGCGGACACUGGCACUUUAAAUGCAGCCCGGGUCACUGGAAAACACAAGCCUUUAUGCAAUACAAAGACAAGACGAACGGAAGGAAUAUGAAGACAGUGUAAAGAUAAGUUUGUCGUUGGAUUUGGCGGCAGUGCAGUGAUCUGUUCAUUAGGGCCUGUAAGCGCUCCUUUCUGCUGAAGUGUUUAUAGGCUAAAGGGAGCCGCUGACUCGCCCUGAUCAAUAGUCUAUGUUUGAUCUGUGGGCUUUAAACUGCGACACAUGACGAUUUCAAGUGGAAGGAGAUUAAGCACACAUGGGAACGGGCCUCGAUCCACACUCACACAUCCAACACGACGAGAAUGUAAUCAAGCGCUGAGCCAUUAUCACACAUGACUUCAGAGUUGUUCAUGCUGGAAACUUUGCAGAUCCGCUGCUAACAGUCGAAUCCGCGCCGUUAGAGACACCAUUAUAUGUCUGAAUUACGGGCUGAAGUAGCGGUAAAUAAGAGGUGGAAUGACGAGGUGGAAAGGCUGGAAAAG
ensembl:lncRNA